rnacentral:rRNA from 1 species
AAACUUUCAACAACGGAUCUCUUGGUUCUCGCAUCGAUGAAGAACGCAGCGAAAUGCGAUAAGUAGUGUGAAUUGCAGAAUUCAGUGAAUCAUCGAAUCUUUGAACGCACAUUGCGCCUCCCGGCAUUCCAGGGGGCAUGCCUGUUCGAGCGUCAUUU